UUGUGUCCCAUUACUUGCGCUGUUUCCUAAAGUAUGUGUUCGUACCGAAAAAGCCCGGCCAGCCACUAUUCUUAAGUUCGUCCUAAAAAUAAUCGGGGGCUUUCGUUUUGUAGUCGCAUAUAUGUUUGCAAGCGCAAUCAACGUUAGACAUUUCCUGCAUAGCGUAUGCAAAAUGCCGUGUUUCUUGCGUAUUGCCGCACCUAGGCUGAAAUGUUUACCAUGCUCUCAGUAUUGUCUCUCAUCAACGCCGGGCCGCUGGGAAGACGAAGGCCAAAUGACCGCCAGGCGAUGCGUGACGGCGACCUCUUCGGCUCGUUCCACGGCUCGGAGUUGCAGGUCCGGGCUGGAGCUAAGCAGCACUUCCACCCACGAUGAAGACGCAGGGCCAGUGAGCUGUUCCGGGAGCUCCUGCUGUGGUACCUGAAGCGACCCAGAGGACUCGCCUGCCUGUUGGUGCAGACGCCGAGUGGAGCCUGAUGUGACGCCAUUUGGAACAGGCCUGACUGUAACCUGCUCGUAGCCGCCUAUUGAAGCAGCUAAGGCUGUGUCUGGGACGAAGCUUGAUUGAGGCCCAACCGAGGCUGUCUUGCUCGAAGUCCUUGCUCGAGGUGGCAUGGGGCGUUGUGGCGGUGGAAGCCGCCCACCUGACACCCGUUCGAGUGCGCUGGCCACCGUAAUGCAGCCGGGGCCUGUCGCCUGCCUCAUCUGAUGACCAAUGCCGUCACCGUGUCUUAGCUCGCCUCCAACGAGGAUCAUCGCGCCUUGGCUCCCCUACAACUAGAAUUGUCACGACAGUUCUACUGCCGAUUGUCGUCAGCAUCGGAACUUAACCUGUGAGACGCAUUCACUCCUUUGCUGAACGCUACGCGUAGGACAUAAUGUAGGCAUGUGUUUGUUUUAGCGACUUUCAUUUCGACUCUGUGUUUACUGCUUAUUUUGCUUUAAUUCUAACAUCUUUGAUAAAUGUUGGUUUACGUCUGUGCUCUCGUCUGUGACGUUCAUUACCGCUUGACUGCACACUGAGAUACGUGACGAACAAGCGUUACACCUUGGUUUCCAAUAGUCCUAGAGUAACGCGUAAGCAUUCUUUGGCCAGUACUUUAGCGAAAUUUGUCCUUCC